rnacentral:rRNA from 1 species
UACGUAGGAGGCGAGCGUUGUCCGGAGUUACUGGGCGUAAAGCGUGCGCAGGCGGUUUUGUAAGUUUGUCGUGAAAGCCCCGGGCUCAACCUGGGAAUUGCGAUGAAGACUGCAAGGCUUGAAUCUGGCAGAGGGGGGUAGAAUUCCACGUGUAGCAGUGAAAUGCGUAGAGAUGUGGAGGAACACCGAUGGCGAAGGCAGCCCCCUGGGUCAGGAUUGACGCUCAUGCACGAAAGCGUGGGGAGCAAACAGG